GUGCUCGCUUUGGCAGCACGUAUACUAAAAUUGGAACAAUACAAAGAUUAGCACGGCCCCUGUGCAAGGAUGACAUGCAAAUUCAUGAAGCAGUCCAUAUUUAA